UAUAAAAGUCCAAAUUCACCAACGCACUUUGAUUCUUUCUGGAACAAGAGAUUAUCAAUAUAUGCAAUGCUUAUUUGUGAAUGCAUAUUUAGAAGAAAAGGGUUUUUGUCUUUAUUGAGUUGUGUUCUGGGUCCCUAAAAGUUCACCAAGACUGAACUUGCCAGGUGAGUUUCCUAGAGGUUCACAUGUGAGUAGAGGGGUGAAGGACACAGUUCAGUUAAGCUGAUUGUUACCUUGUUACAUUUCAUUUAGGAUUCUAAGGCGUUCAGAAAGCUGAUGCAAUCCAAGGCCUUUGGGACAUUUGCCUGUUACUGGAGUGGCAAUUGCAGCAAGUAGCUUUGACUACUGAAAUCAGGAGUGCAAGGACACAGGAGUAAGGACAAGCAUUGCAGAGAAAGUGGAAAAAGACUUUGCAUGGCAGCGAUAACACAGUCCCCUGCUGGAAAACGCUGAAUACUGGCAGCAUAAAGCCUCCUGAAUAUGUUGGCCAGAUUAAUGUCCUCCUAAUAACAGCAGUGUCACUGGUUUUGGAUUCCAGAAGCAUUGUUUAUCUGUGGUCUCCAAGGUGAACUACAAUGCAGCUGCAGAAUCACCUGACAGACAGCUUGCAAUGCAGCAGCAUCAAUUGCUGCUCUGCUAAAUGAGAUGUUGUUUUACAGUAAUGGAAAGAGGCUCAAAGUAA